rnacentral:rRNA from 1 species
GACGGAGGAUGCAAGUGUUAUCCGGAAUCACUGGGCGUAAAGCGUCUGUAGGUGGUUCGAAAAGUCCACUGUUAAAAAUUGAAGCUUAACUUCAAAGAUGCCGUAGAAACUUUUAAACUUGAGUAUGGUAGGGGUAGAGGGAAUUUCCAGUGGAGCGGUGAAAUGCGUAGAUAUUGGAAAGACCACCAAUGGCGAAGGCACUCUACUGGGCCAUUACUGACACUGAGAGACGAAAGCUAGGGGAGCAAAUGGG